AUUUAUAUAUGCGCACCCUCCUUGAGUGUUACAUAUAAUUGCAUCCCACUAAAAUGGGGGAUUUGCCACCUGGUUUUCGCUUCUACCCUACAGAAGAAGAGCUUGUCUCAUUCUAUCUCCAUAACAAGCUUGAAGGCAGGAGGCCUGACCUCAACCUAGUCAUGGACAGAAUUAUACCAGUUCUUGAUAUAUAUGAGUUCAAUCCCUGGCAACUCCCACAAUAUGCUGGAGAUCUAUCGAAUAGAGACCCAGAGCAAUGGUUUUUCUUCAUUCCAAGGCAAGAGAGCGAAGCUCGAGGAGGAAGACCAAAGAGGCUUACAACUGCGGGAUACUGGAAAGCUACGGGAUCUCCUGGUCAUGUUUAUUCUAACAAUCGCACCAUCGGCAUGAAAAGAACCAUGGUUUUCUAUAGGGGAAGGGCUCCUAAUGGACGCAAAACCGAUUGGAAAAUGAACGAGUACAAAGCUAUUCAAGGAGAAUCAUCUUCUUCCUCAUCUACUGCUGCAUCUGCAACGUUAAGGCAUGAAUUCAGCCUGUGUCGGGUGUACAAGAAAUCAA
rnacentral:misc_RNA from 1 species